UUACGGCAAUAUCACGUUGAAACGCCAGUUUUCGUACGAUCAGCGAAGUUAAGCAAUAUCGAGCCUGGUCAGUACUUAAAUAAGUCAUUGCUUGGGAAUACCAGGUGCU